UUAGGCCCUCUGUCGGCAAGUUUUUGUUCAGAUGGCAACCAUAAAAAUAGAACACCAAAGUCUAAAUAAUAGGAUUCCACAUAGUUCUUGGCACAAGACUAUUUAUUACCCUUUGAUGAUGUGAACAGACGUCUUUCUGCGCUUAUGAUUGGAAUCUUAGAAGCACGGUCAGUGUAAGAACAGUUGGUGACUUUAUAACACAUAGUUGGCAGGGCAUUUCUGGUUUAACCUAAAUGGCUCACAUGGAAGCAACACUGUUGUACUUAAU
rnacentral:lncRNA from 1 species